AUGGCUGUCGCCGCGGCUCGCUGCCGCCUGUGGCGCGGGAUGCGAACCGCAGCCGCCGCCACCGUGUCAGGCGAAGAGCUGUACGCGUCCCUGCUCUCACGCCUGGUGGCGGAGCCGGAGUGCCGCGUGAAGGCCACCAUGGAGGAGGCGACCUCCUCGGUCCCGCACCGCGAUGACGCCUUCUGGGAGCCCCUUGCCGCGGCCCUCCUCCGCGCGUCCUACCCAGCCAAGGCGCACCUCGUCUUGGAAUGGAAGCUAGAGAAGCUACUAAAGGAAGGGGUUAAUAGUUAUAAUUGUGAACCCUACUCGAUAAUAAUCCGUUUCUGUGGAGAGACAAGGAAUGCAGCUCUUGCAAUGAGAGUCUUUGAGUGCGCAGAGGCACAGGGAAUUCAACUGAACACUAGCAUUUUUAAUGCUCUUAUUAACACUUUCUUGUCUGUCGGAGAUCUCCUUGCUGCAGUGACCUUAUACGAGACCAUGGAAGGAAUAGAGGACUCCAAACUUGACCGUGCUACAUAUGAUGCAUUCAUAUAUGCAUUUUCGCGACUCCGAAGUGGCGAUGCUAUGAUGAACUGGUACUUGGCUGCAAAGAAUGCAGGGUUUAUUCCGGGUACUCAAGCUUUCGAAUCUUUGAUAGUGGGAUUUAUUCUGUUGAACAAGCUAGAUGAUGCUGAGUUGGUCUUCGGAGAAAUGGUUUCAUUUGAAACGAAGCCAACCUGUACUAUUUUGGAGGCCAAGCUUGAGGUGCUUUAUAGAACAGAAGAGGUUAAUAGGGUCAGAAGUUUCAUAAAACUUGUCAGUGAUGGCAACUGGGAGUUGAAUAAAGCUCUGGUUGACAGACUAACAAGACUAUGCCUGGAUGGAGGUGAAAUUGAUGUAAUGGAGCAGCUGCUCGCCCUAAUACAAAAGGAAGCACACUUUAGUUCUGUAACUCAACUGCAUUGUGGAAUUAUCAGGUUCUAUGCUAGUGCAGAUCUCUUGUCAGAUAUGGAACAUGCAAUAGGCCGGAUGUUGGAUGAUGGCAUGAUGUUUCUGUGCCCAGAGGAUGUUGAGGCUAUUAUUUGUUCAUAUUUUCGUCACAGGGCCUUUGAUAGGUUGGAGAUCUUUUUAAACCGCAUCCGAAGUUUGUACAUGCUCACCCGCUCUAGCUAUGAUAUAUUAGUUGCUGGAUUUCGGAGGUUUGACUUGCAUCAAACACUUGAGGCAACCAUAAAAGAUAUGAGGGAAGCUGGAUUUGCAUGA
rnacentral:rRNA from 1 species